rnacentral:rRNA from 1 species
UACAGAGGGGCAAGCGUUGUUCGGAAUUACUGGGCGUAAAGGGCGCGUAGGCGGCCCGCUAAGUCGAACGUGAAAUCCCCGAGCUCAACUCGGGAACUGCGUCCGAUACUGGUGGGCUUGAAUCCGGGAGAGGGAUGCGGAAUUCCAGGUGUAGCGGUGAAAUGCGUAGAGAUGUGGAGGAACACCGAUGGCGAAGGCAGCCCCCUGGGUCGACACUGACGCUCAUGCACGAAAGCGUGGGGAGCAAACAGG